UACGAAGGGGGCUAGCGUUGCUCGGAUUGACUGGGCGUAAAGGGCGCGUAGGCGGCGGACACAGUCAGACGUGAAAUUCCUGGGCUCAACCUGGGGGCUGCGUUUGAUACAUGUCUGCUUGAGUUCGGAAGAGGGUCGUGGAAUUCCUGGUGUAGCGGUGAAAUGCGUAGAUAUCAGGAGGAACACCUGUGGCGAAAGCGGCUCACUGGACCAUAACUGACGCUGAUGCACGAAAGCUAGGGGAGCAAACAGG
rnacentral:rRNA from 1 species